UGGCAGGCGUGGCGGUGGGCGGUGGCCCUCCGUCUCCUUCCCGGCGAGGCGGCGAGGGAGGCCUCCUCUCAUUGCCGCGACGCCCGAAUUGCCGUCCUGCGCACGUCGCCAUCAACCCCGCCCCGAAGCGGCCAAGUUACAGGCCACCAGCCGCCGCCUCGCUUCUUCACGUUGGGAUUUGGUUCCCCUACCUACUACAUACAAUGACCAAAGUAAUGUUGAUAAUUUGGAGAGUUUGGGUCACUCGUAUGAGAUACAACCCUAUACGCACAUGCCUCAAGAUCAACUUGAACCUUAUAGGCCCUCGUGGUCUCUGAAUCCGGGAUACUAUGAUGCCUGCAUGGAAGGGACUCCUCAAUAUGAUAAUCAUACACUGUCAUCUAGUGAAUGCUGGGAUAUGUCAAGCUUAUUUAUGUCUCCAUUCUAUCCUCAAGAAAUGCAAGUAUAUGAGCAGUCUUAUGGUGACGAGAAUGUCUAAAUUGGCAGAGCAACUGGAACACUUUCUGAAGAUGACCAUCAGAUAACUAAAUCAGAUGAUGGAGCUAACCCUAUUUAAUCACUUCUGGCCCUUUGGAGAGUAUUCAACCUAUACUGUAUACUCUAUUUUAGUCAUGUUGCUUCUGGUUCAGCUGUAUAAUUGUAUCUGCAUUUGUUUUAAAUUUACUUGGUCAAGUGUAAAUAAAGAAUUUAUUUGUAAGAGUUUAUGUUCCAAAUAUAUAAAAGAUCAAUUUCUGCAGUGCUGUCUUGAGAUACAUUUAUCAUUUUCUGAUUAAGCUAACCUGUACUAUGUUUUUCCUUACCAGUGCUUGUUUUGUACCAGAAUAUUAUGAAUUCAUGAUUGUGAAUAUCAUCACAUAUUACGCUUGAGUUAUUUUCUGCCAGUUUCAUCCAGAAGUUACAAGAUGGCUUAACUCGUACCUCAGUCUCAGUUUACAAUUUUUCAUCUUGUCCAACUAACCUAGCUGUUUUGCCAUCCUCUGUCUAUGUUUCUCACCAUGUCCUGUCUCAAAUUUAUUAGGUGCUGGAAAACAAAACGAUCAUGUCAAGAUCUUCGCGGUGUUCUGCUCGCUCUGUGACUCUCUGUGUCAUUGGAUACCAGAGGGCAGAGGCCAUAAUAUAGCUUGUUCAGCUACUUGCUGUUGUAUCCUUAUCAAUUUCUAUGAAGAUAAUCAUUUGCAACAUGUUCUAUAAAACAUUUCUUCAUGGUACAUACUCCCUCUUCCAUUCCAAAUUAUAGGUUGUUUGACUUUUUUAAUCCCAAGUUUGAUCACUCGUUUUAUUCAAAAAGUUUAUACAAACAUAGUCAAAUUUAAGUCAUUAUUGAAGAACUUGUAUUGAUAAAGCAAGCCACAACAAAAGAAGUGAUAUUUUGCACAAAUUUUUGAAUAAGCCGAGUGGUCAAACUUGAAGUCAAAAAAGUCAAACGACAUAUAAUUUUGAAUGGAGAAAGUACUACUUUCUCAGCAGAAUUGUUUCGAAAUUACCCCUUUUCAAGCUAUUUAUUUCAACACUAGGGAAAUUUGUAGACAGCACAUCAGUGUAAUUCUGGUGGUGGACUGGUGGGUGGGGGUGGGGGCGAUCACAAUGUAUCCAGGACAUUAAAAAAAAGAAAAAAACAAAGACAGUGUUGUCUAUCAAGAAACAAAGAAAAGCCCAGAGCUGCACUGUUUUCAGGACUUAUAAAUUGCCUGAAAACCUGAGUAUCAAGCAACCAAAAGGGGACUUGAUGGGCGAUAUGAAGCUGCUACGGCUCCAUCCAGUUACAGAAAACAAUUGAAGACAUUGGACCCAUCAUUCCAAGCACGAUCAGAUUUUCAAAAAAAAAAAAAACUUCCAAGCUGUCACUUCUGCGUAUCUCCUAGGCCCAUAGUCUGCUGGUGCCCCCAACAGGAAAUCCUUGGUUGGUUAGCUAGUGUUCGUUGCGCUAGCUUCGCUAUUUUCAUGUUAAAUGUCCGCAACUAUCCUGGGCCUGCUUGGCCUGGCCCAAUUGUUCCUUCUAUCGUCCUCGAAACUAGGUGGGGAGAGAUGAUCCAGGAGCGGAAUAUGAACUGCAGAGGUUCCAAAGGUGCGAAUUAAUACAUUUCUGAACUCUAUCAUGAAUCAUGAACUAACUAAACAAGGUAAGAAAUAUGAGAACACCAAUACACUGCUUGUUUCAUGGUAGCACCACUAAUGCACACUGAUCCGCUUUUGUUGCAUGUAGUAUCUACUUUUUGCUUGCCCGGGGGAUCGUGAUCGAACAAACAUGCCUUUCUGCCAUGCGCAAUUUUUUAGCUACAAUACAUGACUAGCUUUUACAUAUCUCCGCAUUGUUUCGGUUAGUUCCCCGUACGUGUAAAGGGGUAUCAAAAGAAUCUUCUUGCUCCUGCAAUACGGUUUGAGAAAUGCCAGACCCACUCACUGAGCAUAGAUAUAUUUUGAAUGGUUCUUUGUUUUCAUGAAUCAUGGCCCUUUAAAUAAGGUUACCUUACCCUGGGGAAGAUAAAAAAAGCAAAGGCUGGCCAAAGGAAAUAGAAAGAUGCGAUGCCCAUUGAUAUCUAAGCUCAUCGUACCCUACUCUUUAGUCUUUAAUCUCUUGCUUGCUUAGUUGGGCUGCCGUGAAAUCAAGAUACAGUUGAAAAGUGAAUAACUUUGGCAUAACUUCCUUAUUUGACCGAACCUUUUCACACAACUACAUGUAAAAACACUGUCGAAACAAAAGCUGUGCAGAACACAAAGCAGCUGUUCUCAUGAUUCUUCAAUCUCUUGACUUUUUGCACUGUUAUCGAGAGAGCGUUAACCACUCACUUUGAGAUAGUGACGCAGAAAAAUGACUCUGGCAUACCUGAAACCAGUUGAGAUGGGUGACAGUGGGAAAUGUUUUAUGGAGUCAGCCAUGACUGGUUAUUGAAAUUUACCGAGGUGACUUUCUCGGUGUGGUCAAGUUGCAGCAUUCAAAUCUCAAUUCGCAGCAAGUUUUUCUGUUAAAGAACCUGAUAAAACGUCUUAUCAAAAGUUCAAAACCCAAAAUGCUUGCCAGCUUGGAACUAAGGUAUGACAAAAGCAAGUGCAUUAACAUAUACUAUAAGAGACCAGAUUACCAUUUGUUUUCAGUAUGAUUAGCAGCUUUUUAGUAUUGCUAGUGGUGUGCACAUGUCAUCUAAGCUUGCAUCCUUUCCCUGUUCGGAAUGAAUUUUUUAAAGCUGGUGCAUGAAGACAAGGACAAGUGGCAACAUUAUUAUUUGUGAACACAUAGGCCCAUAUGAUCUGAUGAUCCUGAGCAGAUCCUACUAUUUAAUUUGUUUCUGUAUUAUUCAAAGAGGAAGGGCAGAGAGAGACAGACUAUAAUUUGUACAGGUCGACCAAAGUUGCCACUUGAGCAUAGAGAAGGGCAAGCUGAUUUAUCACUACUUUAGUGAUGAGCAGAUGUAAGGAGGCACUGGCACCUCUACCUGAAAACCUACACAGACCACGGCUCUGGUGGCAACGACCUGUCUGCAACAGGAAUUUGAUCAGGAACAUGUGAGCUGAGAUGGAUGCUGCUGGUUCCAAGUAGCUUUCUUGAUAUAGUGUGAUCAGUGAAGACCCGUAUGCAGUAGCACUAGCUUGUGUAUGUACUCCAGCUGGGAGAUAUCAAGAUCUCCGCACUCCACAGUCCACAGUGCAGAGGUGGUCUCGUCUCUCCCCGAAAAUUUCGGCUGCAAGAGUCCAAGUGCCACCCACAUGGGGGGGGGG